rnacentral:rRNA from 1 species
GGUUAAGCGACUAAGCGUACACGGUGGAUGCCCUGGCAGUCAGAGGCGAUGAAGGACGUGCUAAUCUGCGAUAAGCGUCGGUGAGGUGAUAUGAACCGUUAUAACCGGCGAUUUCCGAAUGGGGAAACCCAGUGUGUUUCGACACACUAUCAUUAACUGAAUCCAUAGGUUAAUGAGGCGAACCGGGGGAACUGAAACAUCUAAGUACCCCGAGGAAAAGAAAUCAACCGAGAUUCCCCCAGUAGCGGCGAGCGAACGGGGAGGAGCCCAGAGCCUGAAUCAGUGUGUGUGUUAGUGGAAGCGUCUGGAAAGGCGCGCGAUACAGGGUGACAGCCCCGUACACAAAAAUGCACAUAUUGUGAGCUCGAUGAGUAGGGCGGGACACGUGGUAUCCUGUCUGAAUAUGGGGGGACCAUCCUCCAAGGCUAAAUACUCCUGACUGACCGAUAGUGAACCAGUACCGUGAGGGAAAGGCGAAAAGAACCCCGGCGAGGGGAGUGAAAAAGAACCUGAAACCGUGUACGUACAAGCAGUGGGAGCCUCUUAAUGGGGUGACUGCGUACCUUUUGUAUAAUGGGUCAGCGACUUAUAUUCUGUAGCAAGGUUAACCGAAUAGGGGAGCCGAAGGGAAACCGAGUCUUAACUGGGCGUUAAGUUGCAGGGUAUAGACCCGAAACCCGGUGAUCUAGCCAUGGGCAGGUUGAAGGUUGGGUAACACUAACUGGAGGACCGAACCGACUAAUGUUGAAAAAUUAGCGGAUGACUUGUGGCUGGGGGUGAAAGGCCAAUCAAACCGGGAGAUAGCUGGUUCUCCCCGAAAGCUAUUUAGGUAGCGCCUCGUGAAUUCAUCUCCGGGGGUAGAGCACUGUUUCGGCAAGGGGGUCAUCCCGACUUACCAACCCGAUGCAAACUGCGAAUACCGGAGAAUGUUAUCACGGGAGACACACGGCGGGUGCUAACGUCCGUCGUGAAGAGGGAAACAACCCAGACCGCCAGCUAAGGUCCCAAAGUCAUGGUUAAGUGGGAAACGAUGUGGGAAGGCCCAGACAGCCAGGAUGUUGGCUUAGAAGCAGCCAUCAUUUAAAGAAAGCGUAAUAGCUCACUGGUCGAGUCGGCCUGCGCGGAAGAUGUAACGGGGCUAAACCAUGCACCGAAGCUGCGGCAGCGACGCUUAUGCGUUGUUGGGUAGGGGAGCGUUCUGUAAGCCUGUGAAGGUGUGCUGUGAGGCAUGCUGGAGGUAUCAGAAGUGCGAAUGCUGACAUAAGUAACGAUAAAGCGGGUGAAAAGCCCGCUCGCCGGAAGACCAAGGGUUCCUGUCCAACGUUAAUCGGGGCAGGGUGAGUCGACCCCUAAGGCGAGGCCGAAAGGCGUAGUCGAUGGGAAACAGGUUAAUAUUCCUGU